rnacentral:rRNA from 1 species
GAUGAACGCUGGCGGCGUGCCUAACACAUGCAAGUCGAACGAAUUACUUUAAAGGAAGUUUUCGGAUGGAAUUUAAAGUAGUUAGUGGCGGACGGGUGAGUAACGCGUGGGAAACCUGCCCUAUACAGGGGGAUAGCCUCGGGAAACUGGGAUUAAUACCCCAUAAAACUCUAGUAUCGCAUGAUACAUGAGCCAAAGAUUUAUCGGUAUAGGAUGGUCCCGCGUCUGAUUAGCUAGUUGGUGAGGUAACGGCUCACCAAGGCGACGAUCAGUAGCCGGCCUGAGAGGGUGAACGGCCACACUGGAACUGAGACACGGUCCAGACUCCUACGGGAGGCAGCAGUGGGGAAUAUUGCACAAUGGGGGAAACCCUGAUGCAGCGACGCCGCGUGAGCGAAGAAGGCCUUCGGUCGUAAAGCUCUGUCCUAAGGGAAGAAACGGACGGUACCUUAGGAGGAAGCCCGGCUAACUACGUG